rnacentral:rRNA from 1 species
UAAUAGCGUAUAUUAAAGUUGUUGCAGUUAAAAAGCUCGUAGUUGGAUUUCUGGUGGGAGCGAUCGGUCUGGCGCUUAGCGCGAGUACUUGCAUCGUCUCCGGCCAUCCUUGGGGAGAGCCUGUCUGGCAUUAAGUUGUCGGGCAGAGGAUCCUCAUCGUUUACUGUGAAAAAAUUAGAGUGUUCAAAGCAGGCUUAUGCCGUUGAAUAUAUUAGCAUGGAAUAAUAAGAUAGGACUUUGGUACUAUUUUGUUGGUUUGCGCACCAAAGUAAUGAUUAAUAGGGACAGUUGGGGGUAUUCGUAUUCCGUUGUCAGAGGUGAAAUUCUUGGAUUUACGGAAGACGAACUACUGCGAAAGCAUUUACCAAGGAUGUUUUCAUUAA